rnacentral:rRNA from 1 species
CCUAUGGGGGGCAGCAGUCGCGAAAACUUCACAAUGGGGGAAACCCCGAUGAGGGAAUUCCAAGUGUCAGCACAUUGUGUUGACUGUUCCCCUGUCUAAAAAACAGGAGAAGUAAGGGCCGGGUAAGACGGGUGCCAGCCGCCGCGGUAAUACCCGCGGCCCGAGUGGUGGUCGAUAUUAUUGAGCCUAAAACGUUCGUAGCCGGUCUUGUAAAUCCUUGGGUAAAUCGGCCAGCUUAACUGUCCGAAGUCCGGGGAGACUGCAAGACUUGGGAUCGGGAGAGGUCAGAGGUACUUCUGGGGUAGGGGUAAAAUCCUGUAAUCCUAGAAGGACCACCGGUGGCGAAGGCGUCUGACUAGAACGAAUUCGACGGUGAGGAACGAAGCCCUGGGGCGCAAACGGGAUUAGAUACCCCCGUAGUCC